UGGAGUGCAAUGGCACAAUCUCUGCUUGCUGCAACCUCUAUCUUCCGGGUUCAAGCGAUUCUCCCGCCUCAGCUUCCCAGUUAGCUGGGAUUACCAGCUCCCGCCACCACACCUGGCUAAUUUUUUUCCUGAGGCAGAGGGAGAAAUCAUUUUGAAAUGUAAAUCUGAUGAUGUCACUCCUCUCCUUAAAGCCAGUAAUGACCCCACUUUUACACAGAGAAAGAGAGGAAGUCCCUGCAAUGGCCCCCCAGAACGCAUGUGACCCUCCACCUUCAUCUUCUAUGGCUCUUCACCUUGUAUAUUCCCUUCCAGCCCCACUGGCCACCUUGCUGUUAUUCUAAUAGGCCUUCUCACAGGCCUGUCACACUCCUGCCUUUUCGUCUUUGCAGAUGAAGAUAUACCCUAUACCUGCAGCACCUUCCCACAGAUAUCUUAAUAGCUAUUUUUUGUCUCUUUCAGGCCUUUGACCAAAUAUUGGCUUUACAGUGAGACCUAUACUGGCCAUGCUAUCUUAUUAGACAAACUGUUCCCCAAUCUAACUCUCAAAUUUCUCUUAUUCUAUAACAUUUAGCCCCUUCCAAUAUAUUACACAAUUUAUGCAAUUUUUAUGUAUAUUAAUUGUAUAUUUUCUCUCUUCCCCCACUAG
rnacentral:lncRNA from 1 species